AAAAAAUCGUUAUACUGUGGUCCUUGCUGUCACUGCAGACGGAAACAAGCUGCCACCAUUGGUCAUUUUUAAAAGGAAAACUUUUCCUAAGGAGAAGAUUCCAAGUGGCAUACAGGUGCAUGUUCAUCCCAAAGGUUGGAUGGACGAAGAAGGCAUGAGGCUUUGGAUCAGAAAUGUGUGGGAGAAGCGCCCAGGUGCUUUGUUAAAGAAGCCAUCCUUGUUAGUACUGGACUCAUUCAGAUCUCAUCUUACAGAACCAUCAAAGAAAGAAUUUCAAAUGUGCAAAACAGAAGUAGCAGUCAUUCCAGGAGGACUUACAUCACAAUUGCAGCCAUUGGAUGUUUCCAUUAACAAGCCCUUCAAAGCCUUCAUGAGUGAAGAAUGGAAUAAAUACAUGUGUGAUGAAAGCCAACAUGAAAGUACAAGUUCUGGGAGAAUGAAAAGACCUGGCAUUUCAAAAGUGUGUCAGUGGAUAAAGACUUCGUGGGACGCAGUUAAAGAAGAUAUUAUCAAAUCUUUUAAGAAAUGUGGCAUAAGCAAUGCUUUGGAUGGUGAAGAAGACAAGCUGAUUUAUGAAGACAGUAGCAGUGAAAGCAGCAGUGUUCAGUUCAAAGAUAUUGAAGAUAGCAGUGAAGAUGAAGAGUUUCUUGGUUUCCCAGACAGCAGCGAUUUCUGAGUAAA